GACGAACGCUGGCGGCGUGCCUAAUACAUGCAAGUCGAGCGGACCACUUCGGUGGUCAGCGGCGGACGGGUGAGUAACACGUGGGCAACCUGCCUGUAAGACUGGGAUAACACCGGGAAACCGGUUCUAAUACCGGAUAAUCCUUUCCUUCACAUGAAGGGAAGCGGAAAGACGGUUUCGGCUGUCACUUACAGAUGGGCCCGCGGCGCAUUAGCUAGUUGGUGAGGUAACGGCUCACCAAGGCAACGAUGCGUAGCCGACCUGAGAGGGUGAUCGGCCACACUGGGACUGAGACACGGCCCAGACUCCUACGGGAGGCAGCAGUAGGGAAUCUUCCGCAAUGGACGAAAGUCUGACGGAGCAACGCCGCGUGAGCGAUGAAGGCCUUCGGGUCGUAAAGCUCUGUUGUCAGGGAAGAACAAGUACCGGAGUAACUGCCGGUACCUUGACGGUACCUGACCAGAAAGCCACGGCUAACUACGUGCCAGCCGCCGCCGUAACAC
rnacentral:rRNA from 1 species